AGCCUGGAAAAAAUAAAAAACAACCAGAUGAAAGUGGAAGACUGCCUCAGGAGCCAGGAACAGCCACACUGCCCUGCGACACCACCACUGGCUUCACCAGAACUCCUCGGCACCACAGAAACACUCGAAAGGUCAACCACAGCGCACACACCAUGUCAGGGCACAGAGGGUUUACUCCAGCACUAAUGCCGAGUUUGGGGUCCACUGAGGUCACAGGAUAACGACCCACUUGGCCCCACAUGGACCCAUCACCCUUCAAACCUCCCCAAAUCUCAACAGAGCAUCUUUUUGCAGCGAAGAUGCCAAGCUCUACCCACCCCAGUGUGGGUGGAAAACACAUCCCCAUGUGAAGGCAGCAGGACCAUCAGCCCAGGAGAGAACCUAAAAGUUCAGUAUCUGAUCCCAGAGUGGGACCUGUGCCCAGAUGAGAUCCUGGAACAGAAACACAGGGGUUCAGCACAAGAGCUGUUUUUUAUGGAUCAAGGAAAAUGUAGGUUUGAUUUUUGGUUUCAGGUAAGAGCUUUCUUUUUAAAGCACUCCGUCCAGCCACAGGAGAGGGACAGAGCAGUGGCAGAGGCACGGUGACGUGUGUCCACACCAUCUGCUGGUCUCCUGGUAGCAGCACAAUGCAGGGGAGGGGAAGCAGAAGCAGGGAUGAGCUCAGUGCAUGAUGAGGUACCCAGAGACCAAGCACCACAAGGUGCUGACAAAAAGGGUGCUGCCAAGCUUGUCCUUCCCCAGCCCUUCUCCAACUACUACAGCCCCAAGCGAUGCUUCAGGCCCCUAAUUAACUCCAGGAGGUUACAAGUCCCUGGUGGAGCUUUGGGUCAGCUGCCUGGUUUCCCCAGCUCACAGAAGUGCAGCUUUUCUCAGAGACACCCCAGCCUUCCAUCAUUUCAUGGAACUUGCCUCAGAAAACCUGAAGUUUCUUCAGCAAAGAACAGCACAGGGCCCUGUUUCCAAAGGGGCUCCUGCCCAAAAUCCAACAGCUUUGAGAUGGACAGAAAGCAGCAGUGCCAGGGUGAGCGAUGGGCAAAGCAGAGCGAGACAGGGUGGCCCAGACCUCCCAGACUCUCUGUACCCCCAGGAGGGCUUGACAGUCCCUCUGGACUGUCUGAGAGCCCCAUGGGACCAGUGCAUCCCCGCGACAGCUGAGCACAUACAAACUCAUCACCUUCAGCCAUGCUGGCAGAGGUGACAGCACCAGAGUAAGUCCAAAAAAACCCCAAUUCCAUGUCAAAACCAUUUGCACUUGUCAAAAAAGACUUUUUUUUUUUCUUUUUCUUUUUUCUUUUUUUCCCCCCUUCCCUCCAGCCCUGACCACUGCCAAGUAGCUGGUGGGGAAGAGUCAGAGGUGGGUGAAGCUCCCACAGAGCCAUCCAGCAUCUCCUCACCCUGCUGAGCAAAUGCAAGAGACUGGUCACGUUUGUGCCUCCCUCCUGGAUGCUCCUGGAGCACCAGCACAACCGGACCCACCACAGGGUCCUGGACAGGACACCUCAUGCCAGCACACAGCCCACGGGCCAUGUCCACCACCCGUGCACAGCACCAGGAGACACGGGCCAGGAGCCCCUACUGCGAGCUGGGACCAGAGUAGUGGAUCAUUCAGGCUGAUGCCUGCAAGGGAGGGAUGGAAGAGGCUCCUACAGCCUCGGACAUGCGAGAGGGACCAAGGGCUGGGACUCUUAAUCCUGCUCCCCAAAACAAGGAGCCACCAGCAGGACAGUUUGUUCUGGCAUUUUUUAGAAAAAAAGGAAAACUCCAUGUGAGAUGAGGCAUCAGGGAUGCUGCAGUGAGCAAGUUCCCUUGGGCACACCCCUGUGGAGGAGACCUGGACCAGACCUGCAAACAACUCCGAGCCAAAGGGAGAACAACAACAGCCACUUUUUGGACAGCUGUAGCCUAGAGUCUAUAGCUUAAGAAAAUCUGAAUCCUGUAGGUUAUAUAAAAAAGAGGUUUGGGCCUUGGCUAUGAACUUAACAUGCCUGCAGGAGAAGUCCCACUGAAGGCAAGGGAUUCACUGGAGACCCUACAGCCGCUGACAUGUCCUCCUGGAUAAGGGUUUUGGGGUGAGGAACCUGCAGGAUACCCUUACCCCUUCUCAGACACCUUCCAGGAGAUAUUACAACCUCCAAACGAGUGGCAUGUCACCCACCACAGACAAAAGCAUCAGCUGGAGGGAUUCAACUGCAAAACCAGCUUGACAGCAAUGGUCCCAGCAGAGUUUUGAAGCAAACCUUGACUUGAUUUGACCUCUCGGCCACAGUUAUCUGCUCACAAUCACACUGUGCAGGAGUGAAAAAAAAACCCCGAAGCUGUAAAACUUAAGUAUUGUUUUGAACAUAAGUAACUGGAGUAGGAAAGAUGACCAGCACUGCCUAUGGAAAGCCAAGGAUAUAACUCUAAGCUAUCUAGACAUUCAGCUAAAAAUCAAUACUUCCUAAAUGGCUUUGAACUUCUACUGGAUUUAUUCCUCUUGGGUAAACAGGACAGAUACCCUAUAAAAGUGUGACUUGUGUUGCCAAGCAAAAUACUCCAACAGUUCUUACUUAGUCCGUUGGGUUGUUCUCCUACACAAGUCCAUGCUGAAACUUCUAUUAAUUGUCAGAGGGGGGAGGAUUUUGCCCUUAAACCAAAGUGUGGGUGGCUGAUGGAAGUGGAGGCAAGAUAUGCAGGUUUGCAGAGUCCAUCGUUUGAACCACACAACCUGUGCAGCUCUGGGAACAAUGGUUUUAAGGAACAAAUGGGCUUAUUGUGUCACCCAGCAGCAGACCUGCAAACAGCCUGAGCACAGAGGCCAUGGACUGGACAGGUCAGAGGGAAUAACCUCAGCUCUCCUGUUGCUGUGGCAGUGGAAAUGUACUGGGUGAGGAGGGAGGGAACUCACAUCACACCUGGCCCUCUCUGGAUUAACAGAGGAUUUACAGUCCUGGGGUUGCCAAGCCAGGAGCCCCUCCUGACCAAAGGACUUGCUGAAAGAAAAACAAACAAAACCAAAAGUGGUAUUUGCUGCCUCCCCGCCAAAGAACAGGAGAAAGGCAGACACAUUUUUCACUUCUCUUACAAAAUAAAAAUCUAACUUUGUUUAGACAACACUAUGGGGCUGAGGAGAAACCUGAGCAGUACUUUUUGAAGAGGAAACUGUCAAAACAGGAGCUGUGUUUCAAAGCCAGACAGUGUUUGCUUUCCACUCCACACCAGAAAAAUACAGGGGAGAGAGGUGGGCUCAUUUUACAUGGGCAGUUCUCAUUAAUCUUAUUAAAAAUCUCCUGCUUAAAUGAUCAUUUGUCAGCAGCAAAAAUAAUCUCCAGUUUUGAGUUUUAUGUGGGAGCCAUUCCAAAAAAAACCACCUUUCUGCCAAACUCAUCUUUGGAGUAACUCCCAACAGAUUUUAGUUGAUGUCUACCACAAGAGCCACUAAAAACUGGCCUCAUCCAGGCAAAACAAUGGAGACUUCUUCCUUUCUCCAAGGAACUCUGGGUAGGCAGAGCAGCCCAGUUGGGAGCUGUGCUGAGGGGAUGCUCCAGGAACUGCCCCCCCGAAAACUCCCAAAUGCUUCAAAAUGAUGGAAAAGGCAGCAGUGAGUUAUCCAUAGCUUGGGUCCCACUGGGUGCUGAGUGUCUGUAGCUCUAAGUAUCAUCAACUGGCAGGGAGGAGGGUGAGCAAAUAGUGGGUGUUGGGAGCACUGGGCAUCAGGGUCUCUAAUAGUGGCUGGAGAGAUGAGCGACAGCUCAGAGCAGAAAACAAACCAGCAAACACCAACCACCUAGGGCAGGGGAGAAGAACAUCUGC